UUCUGGUUAGGUUACCCCGGAUCCAAAUGUGUGUGAAACCGUUGAAAUCCACAUCAUUGGCUGUUUGACAAUCUUGCUCGUGAUGAGCCAAUGAAGGCGAUGAUGUUUCCAGGUAGGUGAAGGUUUUGGACGGAUCGAAAUGCGCGUGAAGCGUUGAAAUUCAGAUCUUGGGCUGUUGACGAUCUUUGCUGAUGUUGAGUCAAUGAAGAUGGCGAUGUUUUUCUGAGGCCGGCUCGUUUUGCAUUUAUAAGUGGCGAAGGAAGCAAGGGAAGACUCGCAGUUUGAAGCGAAGCGAAGCACGAUGAGCCGCUUCCUUCUCUUGUUGAAGAUGGCAGUCGUCACGACCCUGGUUCUGGCCACACACCCAUCUCAGCUUCAUGCAGGAGGUGAGAUUGAGGGAACGAGAAUCAUGCCAAGCCCACCUCCACCUCCAAACCGAGGCAAAUGGCAGCAUCAAAUCCCUCCUGAGACCCCUCCUCGGCUCAUCCCUAUUCAUCCCUAAAGUCAAUCGUGUACGCGUCACGACAUGUUUCAAUCUCCCGAAGUCGUAAUGGAAUAAACUGUCAGUUACAUGUAGCACUGGCUUUUCCUUUUAGCUCGGUCAUGUUGAAUUGCCGGGAAACCUGGAUUUCCCGGACAUAGUUUUUCAAAUCCGGAUCUCUAUCUUGACACUUUUGCAUUUCAACAAGAGGAAAAUAUCCCAAGAAUCAAUACUCAUCAGUCCGCAAAAGUUAUAGCCUCGGUUCGAUUCGCGUCGUGGUCCAAAUCGUGAGAUCGUUUAUGGGCAAUAGUUGCAACAAGUGCCAUUUACAUUAUACACCAUAUACAUGGAACUUAUUCUGAA